GUCUCCCUAUGUUGUCCUUUCCAAGGCUGCAUAAUAUUCCAUUUUAUGGAUGGACCGCAUUUAGCUUAUCCAUUCAUCCAUUGAUGGACAUUUGGCUUGCUUCCACUUUUGGCUAUUGUGAAUAAUGCUGCUGUGAACACAGAUGUGCAAAUACCUCUUCAAGACCUGGCUUUCAGUUAUUCUGCAUAUAUGCCCAGAAGUGGAAUUCUGAAUCAUGCUGCUUUACUCUUUUUAAUAGCUGCCUGGUACUCCAUAGAAUGUUUGUACCAUAAUUUACUAUUUUAAAUAGAAUUCUUUACGCUGCCCAUAACAUAACAUAAGUUCCGUGGUGUCUGGCCCGCGUGAGAGCCAUGUGAACAGUAGCCACAUGGACUAGUCAUUGGAACUGGACCCAAAGCCAGGCCUGAGCAUCCCGCUCAACUCACAUACACAUCCUUUCUUCUUCCAUUACACAGAAACCAGCCGUUGCGUGCAGGGUGAGCACAUGUGCUAGGCCAGGCUGCUUGCGUGCCAGGCUCUGGAGUGAGUUAUCUCAUUACUGUAGACUGGGGGUAGUGCUGUACAAUGAGUAUAAUGCUUCAUGCAUUUCUAUAGGGACUACUUGUACAGUUCACUCAGUGCACAUAGCGUAAGCACUGGCACAUGGAGAAGGUUCCAUCUGGGAGAGCUUUUACUGUUAUUCAGUAGAGAGGUCUGAGUCUUUCUAGAGCCCAGUGAUUCAUAAAGGUAAAUUGGAAGGGUUUGGCCAGGCUCAGUUUAGACAAAUUUUCAUCACCAAUGAGGCUGAGCAGACUCGGAGGAGGCUUUGAGGUCACUUUUCAGAAGAGGGAUCUGAGGCUCAGAGAGGCUGAGAGACUUAGCCAAGGACACACAGUGAAUAAAUGGUUCCAGCUAGAGUCCAGUUCUCUCCACUCCUCAUCUAGUGUCUUAUCUACCACCCUGGAAACUUGCAGGAUCUUGGGAAUUCGCAGGCUGUUGGCUUACCCAGGGUCCACAGAGUUGAU
rnacentral:lncRNA from 1 species